UACGAAGGGGGGCUAGCGUUGCUCGGAAUCACUGGGCGUAAAGGGUGCGUAGGCGGGUCUUUUAAGUCAGGGGGUGAAAUCCUGGAGCUCAACUCCAGAACUGCCUUUGAUACUGAGGAUCUUGAGUUCGGGAGAGGUGAGUGGAACUGCGAGUGUAGAGGUGAAAUGCGUAGAUAUCGUCUGGAACGCCGAAGGUGAAAACAGCUCGCUGGGGCUGCGCUGACGCUGAGACACGAAAGCCAGGGGAGCGAACGGG
rnacentral:rRNA from 1 species